GUAGGUGGCAAGCGUUGUCCGGAAUUAUUGGGCGUAAAGCGCGCGCAGGCGGUUCUUUAAGUCUGAUGUGAAAGCCCACGGCUCAACCGUGGAGGGUCAUUGGAAACUGGAGAACUUGAGUACAGAAGAGGAAAGCGGAAUUCCACGUGUAGCGGUGAAAUGCGUAGAGAUGUGGAGGAACACCAGUGGCGAAGGCGGCUUUCUGGUCUGUAACUGACGCUGAGGCGCGAAAGCGUGGGGAGCAAACAGGAUUAGAUACCCUGGUAGUCCACGCCGUAAACGAUGAGUGCUAAGUGUUAGGGGGGUUUCCGCCCCCUUAGUGCUGCAGCUAACGCAUUAAGCACUCCGCCUGGGAGUACGACCGCAAGGUUG
rnacentral:rRNA from 1 species